GACGAACGCUGGCGGCGUGCUUAACACAUGCAAGUCGAACGGAAAGGCCCUGCUUGCAGGGUACUCGAGUGGCGAACGGGUGAGUAACACGUGGGUGAUCUGCCCUGCACUUCGGGAUAAGCCUGGGAAACUGGGUCUAAUACCGGAUAGGAGCCAUUUUUAGUGUGAUGGUUGGAAAGUUUUUUCGGUGUAGGAUGAGCUCGCGGCCUAUCAGCUUGUUGGUGGGGUAAUGGCCUACCAAGGCGGCGACGGGUAGCCGGCCUGAGAGGGUGGACGGCCACAUUGGGACUGAGAUACGGCCCAGACUCCUACGGGAGGCAGCAGUGGGGAAUAUUGCACAAUGGGCGCAAGCCUGAUGCAGCGACGCCGCGUGGGGGAUGACGGCCUUCGGGUUGUAAACUGCUUUCGCUAGGGACGAAGCUUUUGUGACGGUACCUAGAUAAGAAGCACCGGCUAACUACGUG
rnacentral:rRNA from 1 species